GCAAAUCCCCGGCGACUUGGCAAACACUUUUCCGGCGUGGCUUCGCCUCCGCGAGCAUUGUGAUGACGUCUCUAAUCGAUGGUCUAUCCUUCGGUAGCUUCGCGGUGCAGAGAAGAGCGAUUCGCAGUGCCAGGAGCAUCUCUUCGAUCACGUGUUUACAAUCUCCGGCGAUGCUCGCGUCGAUCACUUCUUCCAAGCUCUCGUUCUUCUUCACCUUCCUCCGAAUCCACUCAACCACGUCAAUCGAAUCCUCAAACGAAGGAUCUAUCGGCAUUUUCCCAGUCACCAAUUCCAGAAGCACAACGCCUAGACUGUAUAUAUCACUCUUUUCGUCAAUCUUCAGUGUGUAUCCGUACUCCGGCGCUAUAUACCCGUAAGAUCCAGCCACCAUAGAAACGGUCUCGUUCUUAUGAAGCAUCAUCUUCGCCAAUCCGAAAUCUGCUAUCCUCGCUUCAAGGUUUGAAUCGAGGAGGAUGUUAUUAGACUUGAUGUCUCUGUGAAUGAUCGGAGGAUAGCAAUCGUUGUGCAAGUAAUUGAGACCUUGAACGACUCCGACGGCGACAUUGUAUCGUGAGAGCCAAUCUCUUAGUAAGAAUUUCUCAUCUUUGGAAUGCAAAGCAGUUCCUAGGUUUCCAUUGGGCAUGUACUCGUAUACCAUCAUCACUUCUCUCUCGUUGUGAACGUAACCUAGAAUCUUCACAAUGUUUCUAUGUCGUAGACCACCAAGUAGGUUCACUUCUCUGAGUAUGUCGUCCUCUUCAUCUUCUUCUUGAUGAUGAUCUUCGAUAUCAUUUUGUGGUGAUGGUGAUCUCCACAGUUUUUUCACAGCUACAGUGAGUAAUGGCCGUCUCAUGACUUCUGCUUUGUAAACAAUCCCUAUGGCUCCCAUUCCAAUGAUGUUUGAUUCUUUGAUAUGUGAUAAGAUGUCUCCUGCAGUGAAGCACAGUCUCUGGAAAGCCACGAGUCUCCAUGGCCAUUCCUCCCGAGGUUUCUUGCAGAAUAUAUACUCUCUAGCAAAGUUGCUGUAAAGAUCCCAUCUUGUGUAUAUCCAUCUCCCUGCCAAGAACAUCAUCCCCAUAGCCACGAUGACUGAAGUUCCAACAAUGAACCCGAAGACUGCGUGAUUCACGUGAAUUCUCCCUGGAUUUCGGCCUUUUGCUGACAAAGCUAGGCUCUUAGAGCAAGGUGGUAGAACUCCACCGCAUAAGCCAUUGUUUCCCACGAGGUCUUUUGGGUCUAUGGCUGCAAACAGCAUGUUUGAAGGAAUGGGUCCGUCGAGUUUGUUGAAUGACACGUUUAACAUCUCCAGUGUUGGAGAAGCUCCCAAGUCCGCUGGUAUAUUCCCCGUCAAAGAGUUGUUUGAGAGAUCAAGAACAGCUAACAUGUGCAUCCCGGCUAAUGCCUUAGGGAUUUCUCCAACCAAUUGGUUGCUCUUGAGAUUUAGACUCACAAGUUUUUCAAAAGAAGCGAUCCUUUCUGGGAUUCCACCUGAGAAAUGGUUGAAGGAAAGAUCGAGGACAGACAAAGAUGGACGAUCUUGAAUCUGGUUAGGAAUUUUUCCGGCAAAGUUGUUAUGUGAGGCAAUGAAGGUUUGAAGAUUAGGACUUGAGAAAAUGGAGGAAGAUAGGGAUGAGAGAUGAUUAAAUGAUAUGUCUAUAAAUGAGAGUGAUGUGGAUAAGGCUAUAUCAUCUGGAAUUUUACCGGUGAGGUUGUUUUUUGCGAGCUCUAGAUGCUGAAGCAUUGGUAAGUCACCUGAACCAGCUGGUAUAGAUCCGGAAAUGUGAUUUUUCUGGAUUCGAACACGAACUAAAGUCGGACAUGAGAAGAUUUCCUCCGGAAUCUGACCUGAGAAUGAGUUGUUGAAGAGAAUGAGCUUUGUGAGGUUUCUGGAAUAGCACAAUCCUGAUGGUAUAUCUCCUGAAAGCUUGUUUGAUGAGACGUCUAACCACUUCAAUGGGGAAUUUUUGCCGAGAUGCACCGGUAAUGAACCCAUGAGAGAGUUCUGCCACAGCUCAAGAACCUCAAGGUUUGGUAAUUCAGCAAUUUUUGACGGAAUGAUUCCCGUGAGUUGAUUCCUCAUCAAAUUUAGAAGCUGCAGAUUCUUCAACUCACCUACUUCCAUAGGUAUUUCUCCUGUGAUCUGGUUAUCAGACAGAUCAAGAAACACAAGAGAAGUCAUACCACCAAGUUCUCGAGGAAGUUUCCCUGUGAGACGGUUCUGGUAGAGAUAAACUGUUGUAAGUUGUUUCAGCUGCCCCAAAGAAGAUGGAAUCUGGCCUGUAAGGUUUCCAACAGCCAAAUCAAGGUACUGAAGGCGCGUCAAUUUCCCAAACUCUUCUGGAAUCUCACCCAUGAAGCCAUUGUAACCAAGAAUAAUGGUCUCCAAGGAAGAGAGCUCACCAAUCACCUUCGGUACCUUUCCACCAAAGUUGUUACCCGAAAGACCGAGAAACUUCAGAUUCUUGAGAUUCUUGAAAGAAGAAGGCACUGAGCCCUCGAAGUAACCUCCUCGAAAGUCCAAAACCUCAAGUGUAGUUGCGUUGCCAAGAUCUUCAGGUAGAAACCCCGAAAAAUUGUUGCUUGAGGCAUUGACGUGUGUAAGACCAGUUGCCAUUCCUAGACCAUAAGGGAAGGUUCCAAAGAAGCUGUUCACACUCACAUCAAUGACCUUCAAAGACGUGAGAUUAGAAAGAGAUUUAGGAAGAGAAGACUCAAAUGCGUUAUUGCUGAGAUCAAGGGCUUGCAGAGAAGGGAAGCUCUGAAUCUGAUCUGACACGUUUCCGCUGAGAUUCAUGUUGGAGAGAAGAAGCUUAGCCACAUAGCCAUUUGCAUCACAGUGAACUCCUGUCCAAUGACAAUGAACCAACUCAGAAAAUGUUGUGGCAUUCUCAGGUCUCUUCCAAUCUUGGAGAUUAUUUGAAGGAUCAAAAAGGUCUGACUUGAAGGCCAACAAGAUCUCUUGUUCGGAGUUUUGAAAUGUUUCAGAAGAAACAAAAGGGAAAAGAGCGAAACCAAUGUAAUAGAAGAGGAAGAAAAGUCGAGGGAUCGCCAUUUUUCUCCUCUAUUUCUUCACUUUUUGGCUAGUUUUAUGGCAUUUUUGUGCAACUGAGAUUGAAGGUCCCCAAGCGAAGUUGAUAAUAAGAGAGUGGAAACCAAAAGCUGAAAAACAAUGAUUAGUCAGAAUCUAAUUUUAUUUAAUCUCUCUCAAUUAUUUUAUCAUGAUUGUGUUUCUUUUUCGUUCGGUGGAAUAAUAUGCGAGUUCCAUUGGCGUCAUAACAAUUUGUAUGAUAGCAAG
rnacentral:lncRNA from 1 species